GGAGGGAGUCCGGUUGGUCAUGGAAGCUGUCUUGAAAACAGACUGUCCCGCAAUGACGGGAUCAAGAGUUCGAAUCUCUUUCUCUCCG
rnacentral:tRNA from 1 species